UACGGGGGGGGCAAGCGUUGUUCGGAAUUACUGGGCGUAAAGCGUGCGCAGGCGGUCUGUUAAGACCGAUGUGAAAUCCCCGGGCUUAACCCGGGAACUGCAUUGGUGACUGGCAGGCUUUGAGUAUGGCAGAGGGGGGUAGAAUUCCACGUGUAGCAGUGAAAUGCGUAGAGAUGUGGAGGAAUACCGAUGGCGAAGGCAGCCCCCUGGGCCAAUACUGACGCUCAUGCACGAAAGCGUGGGGAGCAAACAGG
rnacentral:rRNA from 1 species